rnacentral:lncRNA from 1 species
CCCGGAGCAGGGCGGGCAGCGCGGCCGGCGCCCUCCGGCCCUGCCGCCGACGGCUGUUCGGCAGCGCCGGCGCCGCGGGGCUGGAGCAGAGCAGUCUGAAGGGAAAAUCCAGUCUGAAAACCUUACCAAAAAUUAAAGAAAAUCUUGAAGUGACCCAAGCGACCCAUUCAUCCAAUCAAAGCACUCUAGUGCAUGUCAAAGGGGUGACCAACAUAGAAGAAACUGAAGAGAAAACAGGAGAAAGCACUGUACUGCUGAAGGAAUCUUCAGUAAUCAACUUUGAAAGUAAAGAAAGUWUGAAAAAUGCUGAAGUGACUUCAAGUACAGAAUUGACUCUUCCCACAGGUGUUUCAACCUUUCUACUAGAGUGUUUAGAUGUAGAUUCCACUGCAGACUAUAACACAGGCUCUAAUGACAGCAUGAACAAUUGCUCAUCCCCUGAAACAUUCAGAGAUGAAGAUAUUUCAGACAGAAGUAACCUUUUCUCUGAGGACUGUGUCAAAUAUAAGAACUCAACUCUCCUGGACUCCAGCAAAGCAAUGACCAUAGACAAGAUGCCACAGAUCUCAAAUCUGUCAGCAAUAUUAGCCUGA